UACGUAGGGUGCGAGCGUUAUUCGGAAUUACUGGGCGUAAAGUGUGCGCAGGCGGCCGCGCAAGUCGAGUGUGAAAGCCCCGGGCUUAACCUGGGAACUGCAUCCGAUACUGGAUGGCUUGAAUCCGGGAGAGGGAUGCAGAAUUCCAGGUGUAGCGGUGAAAUGCGUAGAUAUCUGGAGGAACACCGGUGGCGAAGGCGGCAUCCUGGACCAAUACUGACGCUGAGGAGCGAAAGCCAGGGGAGCAAACGGG
rnacentral:rRNA from 1 species